rnacentral:lncRNA from 1 species
AUGCCUCGGGGUCAGAAGAGUAAGCUCCGUGCCCGUGAGAAACGCCGCCAGGCCCGUACUGAGACCCAGGGCCUAGAGGUUGCUAAGGCCUCUGGGGCAGCAGCAGCAGGAAAGUCCCCUUCUUCGGUUUUUGGGGACAGACCUGAGAAUCUGCCUGCUGCUGGGACACCCAGCACUCCUGAGGCACCUGAGGGAGCCACUGGUGCUACUGCAGCUAGUUCAGGCACCAACUCAGCUGAAAAUAUCAAUAGCCCAAAGGCGGAAAGCACAAGCUUCCCCAAGGGCGCUGAGAGCUCACUCAGUGAGAUUUUAAAUAAGAAAGUGGUUCUGUUGGUGCAGUUCCUGCUGCAGAAGUAUCAAAAGAAAGAGCCAAUUAGAAAGGCAGAGAUGAUGAAGUUUGUUAUCAAACAGUACAAGAGUCAUUACAAUGAGAUCCUCAAGAGAGCUUCUGAUCAUAUGGAGCUGGCUUUUGGUGUUGAUUUGAAGGAAGUGGAUCCUACCAGGCACUGCUACACCCUUGUCAACAAACUAGACCUCUCCUAUGAUUCAGCUCUGAAUGAAUAUGAGCACAUGCCAAAGACCGGCAUCCUGAUGAUUGUGCUUGGUGUGAUCUUCAUGAGAGGCAACUGCGCCCCUGAAGAGGCGAUCUGGGAAGUGCUGAAUAUGAUGGGUGUAUAUGCUGAAAGGAAGCACUUCAUUUAUGGGGAUCCCAAGAAGGUCCUCACAGAAGAUCUGGUGCAGCUCAAGUACCUGGAGUACCGCCAGGUGGCCAACAGUGAGCCUCCACGCUAUGAGUUCCUGUGGGGCCCAAGAGCCCAUGCUGAAACCAGCAAAAUGAAAGUCCUGGAGUUUUUAGCCAAGGUUCACGAUACCGUCCCCACUGCCUUCCCAUCCUGGUAUCAAGAGGCUUUGAGAGAUGAGGAAGAGAGAGCCCGAGCCAGAGCUGCAGCCAGGGCUCGUACUGCUGCCCUGGCCAGUGCCCGCUCUAGAGCCAGAGCCAGCACCUCCUCCCAGGCUAAGUGA